rnacentral:rRNA from 1 species
ACAAUUUUCUAUCUAUAUGUCUUGACCAAAUCUUGUGCCAGCAGUCGCGGCAACACAAGGGAGACUAGUGUUAUUCAUCUUUAUUAGGUUUAAAGGGUACCUAGACGGUAUAUCAAGCCCCAAAAGGGAACGGGUAUACUAGAGUUUUAUGUGAGAGGCAAAUAUACGUACUAUUGGUGUAGAGAUAAAAUUUAUUGAUACCUCUAGGCACGGGUAACGGAGACAGGCAGAUCCUUCUAUGUAAAAACUGACGUUGAGGGACGAAGGCUUGGGGAGCGAAUAGGAUUAGAUACCCUCGUAGUCCAGGCAGACAAUUAUGAAUGUCAUAGAUUAGAUUAUAAUAGUAAGAAAUAAGAAAGAGAGUAAGAUAAUUACUAAAAAAAAAAAGGGUUAGAUGUCUUCACCUCCCUAUUUUUUUUGAUCUAUAAAUGAAAGUGUAAGCAUUCCACCUCAAGAGUAAUGCGGCAACGCAGGAACUGAAAUCAUUAGACCGUUUCUGAAACCAGUAGUGAAGUAUGUUAUUUAAUUCG